rnacentral:rRNA from 1 species
AUUGAACGCUGGCGGCAUGCCUUACACAUGCAAGUCGAACGGCAGCACGGGAGCAAUCCUGGUGGCGAGUGGCGAACGGGUGAGUAAUAUAUCGGAACGUGCCCAGUCGUGGGGGAUAACGCAGCGAAAGCUGUGCUAAUACCGCAUACGAUCUAAGGAUGAAAGCGGGGGAUCGCAAGACCUCGCGCGAUUGGAGCGGCCGAUAUCAGAUUAGCUAGUUGGUGGGGUAAAGGCCCACCAAGGCGACGAUCUGUAGCUGGUCUGAGAGGACGACCAGCCACACUGGAACUGAGACACGGUGCAGCCUCCUACGGGAGGCAGCAGUGGGGAAUUUUGGACAAUGGGCGCAAGCCUGAUCCAGCAAUGCCGCGUGCAGGAUGAAGGCCUUCGGGUUGUAAACUGCUUUUGUACGGAACGAAACGGCCCUUUCUAAUACAGGGGGCUAAUGACGGUACCGUAAGAAUAAGCACCGGCUAACUACGUGCCAGCCGCCGCGGUAA